rnacentral:rRNA from 1 species
GAUGAACGCUAGCUACAGGCUUAACACAUGCAAGUCGCGGGGCAGCAUGGGGGUUGCUUGCAAUCCCCGAUGGCGACCGGCGCACGGGUGAGUAACGCGUAUCCAACCUGCCCUUCACCACGGGAUAACCCGGCGAAAGUCGGACUAAUACCGUAUGUUGUCCAUUGACGGCAUCCGAUUUGGACGAAAGGUUUGGCGGUGAAGGAUGGGGAUGCGUCCGAUUAGCUGGACGGCGGGGUGACGGCCCACCGUGGCGACGAGCGGUAGGGGUUCUGAGAGGAAGGUCCCCCACACUGGAACUGAGACACGGUCCAGACUCCUACGGGAGGCAGCAGUGAGGAAUAUUGGUCAAUGGGCGUAAGCCUGAACCAGCCAAGUAGCGUGCAGGAUGACGGCCCUAUGGGUGGUAAACUGCUUUUAUGCGGGGAUAAAGUGGCCCACGUGUGGGUUUUUGCAGGUACCGCAUGAAUAAGAACCGGCUAAUUCCGUG